GAUGAAGAACGUAGCGAAAUGCUAUACUUGGUGUGAAUUGCAGAAUCCCGUGAACCAUCGAGUUUUUGAACGCAAGUUGCGCCCGAAGCCUUUUGGCCGAGGGCACGUCUGCCUGGGCGUCACGCAUCGCGUCGCCCCCCACAAUUCUCCGUAAAGGGAACAUGUGUUUUGGGGGCGGAUAUUGGUCUCCCGUGCUCAUGGCGUGGUUGGCCGAAAUAGGAGUCCUUUCGAUGGACGCACGAACUAGUGGUGGUCGUAAAAACCCUCGUCUUUUGUUUCGUGCUGUUGCUCGCAAGGUAAACUCUUUAAAAACCCCAAUGUGUCGUCUCUUGACGACGCUUCGACCGCGACCCCAGGUCAGGCGGGACUACCCGCUGAGUUUAAGCAUAUCAAUAAGCGGAGGA
rnacentral:misc_RNA from 1 species